UACGUAGGGUGCGAGCGUUAAUCGGAAUUACUGGGCGUAAAGUGUGCGCAGGCGCAAAGCAAGUCGAGUGUGAAAGCCCCGGGCUUAACUUGGGAAUUGCGCUCGAAACUACUUUGCUGGAGUGUGGCAGAGGAAGGUGGAAUUCCACGUGUAGCGGUGAAAUGCGUAGAGAGUGUGGAGGAACACCAAUGGCGAAGGCAGGUCACUGGGCCGCAACUG
rnacentral:rRNA from 1 species